rnacentral:lncRNA from 1 species
UCAACUUCUUUCUUUCAUUAAAGCUUAAAAGGCCAUAGGCCAGUUUACAAGUAAUUUGAACUCAUUUCAAUUUGCAAAACUCUUGAAGCCCAACAAAGCCCAAAUCCUACGUUUACAGUCCUUAAUAUGAUAAACAAAAUUCCGCAUGUGGGACACAUAUUAGGUGAUGUGGUGCUCGUCCUUUCUGGAAAUCGAGAAGAGAGAACCGAUGCCACCACCGGCUACAUGUCGGUCUAAGAACCACCGGGCCUCUUCACCGCUCAGUCCAAUUCACUUGCUUGCUCCUCCAUCCCUUAAUCGCCGAUGACCAUAGAGAUUCUUCUUCAUACCGCCAGAGGUGAAUCCAUGAGAAGCUUCAAAAGAAACAGCAACAUGACCUUGCCAAAACGCCUCCAUAAAAGACUCUUGACUAAUCUAAAUCCUUGCUAACUCUUUAUCCCUUCAUCAAUCGUCUUCUUUCUUUAUCUUAGAGGAGACUUCACCUUGACAGUAGGGAAGAUUGAUUCCUCACCCAAUAAAGAAACAAAGCUUGACCAGCUGAUACAAAUAAGAAAUUUCUAAGAUCGAUCGGUAUAACCAUAAACACAGGGAAGAGAAGCAAAAAGGAUCCGCUAACCGGAAUUUUAUUGAAUCAAAACAAAUCGGUAAGGUUGAAACAUGAAGAAAAACCCGUUUUGAUUUGAAACCCACAACAAAAUCGUCUAAAACGAAAGAGAAAAUCGCCUAGCAAAGUAGAUAAUCGAUCUCACGAUCGAAGCUUUACAACAAAAACAUACAUAAACAAAAAUCUUUUCCUCCGAAAGAUUUAGAAUUGAUAAGAAGGAGGAAAAAGAGAGUUUUCUCUCUCUGGGAUAGAAAGAGACCCUUACUCCUUUUGCAACAUUUUCUUGUUAAUUCAUCUAUAUUAGUCAAUAUUAGGAC